UGUCAUACCCCAAAAUUCACCCUACCCCAUUGUCCCAUCACCAUAAUUUCAUAAACAUUCAUAAGGAAUGACAUAUUACAUGGAUUCAAGGCAUGGUGUUCAUAUCUAAAAAAUUGAGGUAUUUCGAAUAAAGCUUCAAGAGAAAGAUGUGCAACAAAACAAAAAAAAGGAAAAAAAAGUCACUUUUUGGUAUGUGUGUA
rnacentral:lncRNA from 1 species